UGGGGAAUAUUGCACAAUGGGCGCAAGCCUGAUGCAGCGACGCCGCGUGAGGGAUGACGGCCUUCGGGUUGUAAACCUCUUUCAGUACAGACGAAGCGUAAGUGACGGUAUGUACAGAAGAAGCACCGGCCAACUACGUGCCAGCAGCCGCGGUAAUACGUAGGGUGCGAGCGUUGUCCGGAAUUACUGGGCGUAAAGAGCUCGUAGGUGGUUUGUCGCGUUGUUCGUGAAAACCGGAGGCUCAACCUCUGGCGUGCGGGCGAUACGGGCAGACUUGAGUACUGCAGGGGAGACUGGAAUUCCUGGUGUAGCGGUGGAAUGCGCAGAUAUCAGGAGGAACACCGGUGGCGAAGGCGGGUCUCUGGGCAGUAACUGACGCUGAGGAGCGAAAGCGUGGGGAGCGAACA
rnacentral:rRNA from 2 species